GACGAACGCUGGCGGCGUGCUUAACACAUGCAAGUCGAACGGUAAGGCUCCAGCUUGCUGGGGUACACGAGUGGCGAACGGGUGAGUAACACGUGGGUGACCUGCCCUGCACUUCGGGAUAAGCCUGGGAAACUGGGUCUAAUACCGGAUAGGACCGCACCGUGAGGGUGUGGUGGAAAGUUUUUUCGGUGUGGGAUGGGCCCGCGGCCUAUCAGCUUGUUGGUGGGGUAAUGGCCUACCAAGGCGGCGACGGGUAGCCGGCCUGAGAGGGUGGACGGCCACAUUGGGACUGAGACACGGCCCAGACUCCUACGGGAGGCAGCAGUGGGGAAUAUUGCACAAUGGGCGGAAGCCUGAUGCAGCGACGCCGCGUGGGGGAUGACGGCCUUCGGGUUGUAAACUCCUUUCACCAUCGACGAAGGGUUUCUGACGGUAGAUGGAGAAGAAGCACCGGCUAACUACGUGCCAGCAGCCGCGGUAAUACGUAGGGUGCGAGCGUUGUCCGGAAUUACUGGGCGUAAAGAGCUCGUAGGUGGUUUGUCGCGUCGUCUGUGAAAUUCCGGGGCUUAACUCCGGGCGUGCAGGCGAUACGGGCAUAACUUGAGUACUGUAGGGGAGACUGGAAUUCCUGGUGUAGCGGUGAAAUGCGCAGAUAUCAGGAGGAACACCGGUGGCGAAGGCGGGUCUCUGGGCAGUAACUGACGCUGAGGAGCGAAAGCAUGGGGAGCGAACAGGAUUAGAUACCCUGGUAGUCCAUGCCGUAAACGGUGGGCGCUAGGUGUGGGUUUCCUUCCACGGGAUCCGUGCCGUAGCUAACGCAUUAAGCGCCCCGCCUGGGGAGUACGGCCGCAAGGCUAAAACUCGAAGGAAUUGACGGGGGCCCGCACAAGCGGCGGAGCAUGUGGAUUAAUUCGAUGCAACGCGAAGAACCUUACCUGGGCUUGACAUAUACAGGAUCGCGCCAGAGAUGGUGUUUCCCUUGUGGCUUGUAUACAGGUGGUGCAUGGUUGUCGUCAGCUCGUGUCGUGAGAUGUUGGGUUAAGUCCCGCAACGAGCGCAACCCUUGUCUUAUGUUGCCAGCACGUUGUGGUGGGGACUCGUAAGAAACUGCCGGGGUUAACUCGGAGGAAGGUGGGGAUGACGUCAAAUCAUCAUGCCCCUUAUGUCUUGGGUUACACACGUACUACAAUGGUAAUGACAGAGGGCAGCGACAUAGCGAUAUGAAGCGAAUCCCAAAACGUUAUCUCAGUUCGGAUUGGAGGCUGCAACUCGCCUCCAUGAAGCCGGAAUUGCUAGUAAUGGCAGGUCAGCAUACUGCCGUGAAUACGUUCUCGGGUCU
rnacentral:rRNA from 1 species